GAUGAACGCUGGCGGCGUGCCUAAUACAUGCAAGUCGAGCGAACGGACGAGAAGCUUGCUUUUCUGAUGUUAGCGGCGGACGGGUGAGUAACACGUGGAUAACCUACCUAUAAGACUGGGAUAACUUCGGGAAACCGGAGCUAAUACCGGAUAAUAUUUUGAACCGCAUGGUUCAAAAGUGAAAGACGGUCUUGCUGUCACUUAUAGAUGGAUCCGCGCUGCAUUAGCUAGUUGGUAAGGUAACGGCUUACCAAGGCAACAAUGCAUAGCCGACCUGAGAGGGUGAUCGGCCACACUGGAACUGAGACACGGUCCAGACUCCUACGGGAGGCAGCAGUAGGGAAUCUUCCGCAAUGGGCGAAAGCCUGACGGAGCAACGCCGCGUGAGUGAUGAAGGUCUUCGGAUCGUAAAACUCUGUUAUUAGGGAAGAACAUAUGUGUAAGUAACUGUGCACAUCUUGACGGUACCUAAUCAGAAAGCCACGGCUAACUACGU
rnacentral:rRNA from 1 species